rnacentral:rRNA from 1 species
AUACGGAGGGUGCAAGCGUUAUUCGGAAUCACUGGGCGUAAAGGACGCGUAGGCGGGUUGGCAAGUCAGAUGUGAAAUCCUACAGCUUAACUGUAGAACUGCAUUUGAAACUGCUAACCUAGAGUAUGGGAAGGGGAGAUGGAAUUAGUGGUGUAGGGGUAAAAUCCGUAGAUAUCACUAGGAAUACCGAAAGCGAAGGCGAUCUCCUGGAACAUAACUGACGCUAAGGCGUGAAAGCGUGGGGAGCAAACAGGAGUAGAUACCCUAGUAGUCC